AUGAACGUAGUAAGACCACGUGAUCGAGCGUGUGACGUGUCAGUUCAGUCAGUUGUGGCCGAGUCGCCUUCGCAGUCGGUUGUGUUUGUGCUCCGGUCGCCGUACCGCAGCCAACUGGACCGUUUCCGUGUUAGUUGUUAAUCAGCUGAUUCCUCAACCAGGAACAUUUUGGAUUAUUCGAACAUCGUUGUUUUCAAUAGAGGAGAGUGAUGGGAUGCAAGCUCUAGCCAGGUACAACAAGGACCUGGGCCACUCCCAGGGCGGCCACACCAUGUGGUUAGUGGAUCUUCCACUUCCUCAUCAAGAGUGCAGCAAGCUGCUGUGUUUCCGCUACUACAGUGGGCUGAAUGUGACGUGUCUCGCGCAGAGUGAGCCGUUGGAGCUGGAGGCACUCUAUCAUACACAGGCCAAACGCGACUGUCUGCGACCCGCCAGACUGCGUGACUGCAGCAGUGAAAGCGAGUCAGAACCUGAGACGUGCUCCAGGACCCGCAAGCGAGGGUGGCUCAAGAAGAAGACGUCCUUGCCCAACGGAUUUAUCCGUAGUGCCGAGAAAGUCGAGGAUUCCGACACUGAUUCCUCGAGGAACUCUUCCAAAGACCUCCCAACGUGGAACUCCCACGAGACUGCACAGAAAACGCUGGAUCUCCCCGACCAGGAUCAGGAAUACUUCCCUAUUUGGAGUCAAAAAUCACCUAUAGCUACAAAAUCUGUGUAUGAAACGCUUUAUCCUUCCUCUACCGAGCCGCCACCACCUCUGCCUCCCAGAUCUUAUCCUCCGAGGCACAGACCACUGGAGCGGACUAGAGCUCUGCACCCUUCCCCACACCAUUGGAGACCCCCUGAGGUACUGAGGAAAAAUAAACCUACAGUAGGCGGACCAAUUUUACCCCCAAGACCGAAAAAGGUUUUGAAUCCGGAGGAUAGCUUUGGAUUUGAAAUAGUUGACACUGAUGAACUCUCUGCGGCUUCUAGCCUCCAAGAGAGCCUCAGUGUUGACAGAGAGGGAACUGAUCCUGUAAAACCGUGGGGUGCGGGGAACGUCAUGGUAGAAGACUCCUUAUUGAGAGUGGCAGCCCCCUUGGCAACGCCAGAACAAGACGGGAGUUUAAUUGAUACAUCUUCUUUCGAGAACUUAAUAGACGAAGAAGAUGUUGUGGAGAAUAAACCUAUCCAGAAGGGUUGUGUUAGACGCACAAUGCCUGCGAGAUCUGGACACGUUUCUAGUCAAUCUUUCGUUAGUCAAAGUGAGGUGUGUGAAAGUGGUGCGGAGAGUGUUGUUCCUGUCGAGGCUGGUCCUGCGACUGAGAUGCCGUCCAAAGACUCAGAGAGUGUCCGAGACUCUCUUACAGUUCCUGAGCAAUCUACUGCCUCUAUCUCUCCAUUGUCGCCGAAUUCCGCAUCAACUCCUACUUCAGACUCCGGCAUCGUCCUCACUAACUCCAUAGCUGAUUCCAACCACAUGGUGUCCAGCACGAGAAGUUCUAGUUCGGAUUCGAUAGGGACGGAGAUCACAGAGGGUCCCGAACCUGUCAGCCACCGGCCAAGAUCCGUGGCUGGAAGUGAGACGCCUCUACGAUCGCACAGACCGUUGUCACGACAAGUCAGCCACCCCCCAGACAGUGCUGUCAUGCUGCUACUGACAGACUCUCCACGCCCUCAGAAUAGACUGUUGAACAGAGUCGCAGCUAUCACAUCUCCCACGAUACCCCAGUGCCCUCCCACCCCUACCCAUCAUGCUCGUCCUGUCCGUGCUUCCUUCCAGAGUCCCAUACUUCCUAGACACACACUGACGAGGGAUUUCAACAAUGCCUCUGCCGUACCCAGGCCACCUGAACCCUCUGACGAAACGUUUUCUCUUGAGCCAUUCCGGGAAGUGCCAGAUCGCCCAGAGGACUCUGGAUGUUCCUCCGGUACGACGCAGAAUGGCUGCUCGCUCCUUCCAUUGCGUCACCUUACAUCUACACGCCUGCCUUCCAUCCCUGAAAGGUCGGUCAAGGGCCAACGUUUAGAGCUCGGCACUGACGAAGAACCUCUGCCUCCACAUUGGGAAGCGCGUAUCGACAGCCACGGAAGGAUCUUCUACAUCGACCAUGUGAACAGAAUGACGACAUGGCAGAGGCCCUCUGGUGCUCGGGCCAGACCUCUGAGCAAUGAGCUGCAGAGGCAACAACUGGACAGAAGGUACCAGAGUAUCCGGCGUACCAUCACGUCUCGCCGGCCGGAUAGUGACGAGAGCGUGGGAGACUGCCCAGAUCUCCCGUCCACCGCUCCGGUGGUGCCAGAAGGGGCAGCAGUGUCCGAGACCGUCAACCACACCCCCGCCGUCAAGUUCCUCUCCCGCCCGGACUUCUUCUCCAUCCUGCACAUGAACCAGGAUGCUCUGGCGUUGUACAACCGAAACGGUUCACUAAAGCACAUGGUAUCCAAGAUCCGGCGUGACCCGGCCACGUUCCAGCGUUACCAACAUAACAGGGACUUGGUCGCUCUGGUCAACCUGUUUGCUGACGCUGUACGGGACCUGCCGCGUGGCUGGGAGACCAAAAUGGAUCGCAACGGCAAGCAAUUCUUCAUUGACCACACAAACAAGACGACAACGUUUAUAGACCCCAGAGUGCCGACAGAGGCCCCGUACCUCAAUCCCCACAAGUUGUGCACCGGCUGGGGAUCUGGCGCACGCCGGCGCAGUCACAGUGCCGGGGAGCAAGAUCUGGCACUCGUGAGAGCUCCGGUGCCCCCUCCCCGCCCCCCUGGCCCUGGCCCCUCAGGCCUCAGCAGUCGUGGUCUGGAGAUACCCACAGCAUACAAUGAUAAGGUGGUGGCUUUCCUGCGGCAGCCGAACAUCAUAGAGAUCCUGCGCGAGAGGCACGCAGCUCUGGGCUCCAGUGUGGCUCUGCGGGACAAGGUGAACGCAGUCAGGGUGGAAGGAACUGUGGCACUGGACCGGCUCAGUCACGACAUAGAUCUCACCAUUCUACUCAGCUUGUUCGAACAGGAGAUUAUGAGCUAUGUGCCCGCAAGUCGCACGUCUCCGCGCGGUUCUCCCCAGCUCAGUCCCCAGACCAGCCCUGGACUGUCACGUGCCAACGCGCGUGCGCCUGCUCCCUACCGAAGGGACUUUGAGGCCAAACUGCGCAACUUCUACCGCAAGUUGGAGAGCAAGGGCUACGGUCAGGGACCUGGCAAACUCAAGCUGCACAUCCGCCGUGAACACCUCCUGGAGGACGCCUUCAACAAGAUCAUGUGUGCCUCCAAGAAGGACCUGCAGAAGUGCAAGCUGUAUGUCCAGUUCGACCACGAGGAGGGUCUGGACUACGGCGGACCUUCUCGGGAGUUCUUCUUCCUGCUGAGCCGAGAACUGUUCAACCCCUACUACGGUUUGUUCGAGUAUUCGGCCAACGACACCUACACGGUGCAGGUCUCGCCCAUGUCGGCCUUCGUCGACAACCAGCAUGAGUGGUUCAGGUUCAGCGGACGCGUGUUGGGACUCGCGCUCGUCCACCAGUAUCUCUUGGACGCAUUCUUCACUCGGCCAUUCUACAAGGCUCUGCUCAGGCUACCAGUAUCCCUGAGUGACCUGGAGUCUCUGGAUGGGGAGUUCCACCAGUCCCUGCUGUGGAUCAAGGAGCGAGAUAUUUCCAGCGAGACACUGGACCUGACAUUUGCCGUCACGGAGCAGGUGUUUGACCAGGCUGUGGAGAGAGAGCUCAAGCCUGGAGGACGUAACAUUCCAGUCACGGAGAAGAACAAGAAGGAGUAUCUGGAGAGGGUGGUGAGGUGGAGAUUAGAGCGAGGAGUCUCCCAGCAGACCGAGUCCCUGGUGCGAGGUUUCUACGAGGUGGUGGAUCCUCGGUUGGUGUCGGUGUUUGAUGCUCGGGAGCUGGAGCUGGUGAUCGCUGGGACCGCCGAGAUAGACCUUACGGACUGGCGGACUCACACGGAGUACAGAUCUGGUUAUCACGAUAAUCAUCCAGUGAUCGUGUGGUUCUGGUCAGCCAUGGAACGGUUUUCCAAUGAACAGCGGCUGAGGCUCCUGCAAUUCGUCACGGGCACGUCAAGUGUUCCGUACGAGGGUUUUGCAGCGUUACGCGGCUCUACAGGUCCCCGCAAGUUCUGUGUGGAGAAGUGGGGCAAGCCUAACAGUCUGCCCAGAGCGCACACUUGCUUCAACCGGCUAGACCUGCCGCCGUACCCGACUCCGGAGAUACUCUACGAGAAGCUGCUGCUAGCCGUCGAGGAAACAAACACCUUCGGCAUCGAGUAGUGGAACCUCGACUCUAGUUCCGAGCAUGUGCACGUUUUAGUAUGCACGUGCUUUACAUUCAGUUUUUGUUCCUCCUGGAUAAUGGGGUCAGUUAAAUUCGUCAUAAUGCGGCGUUUCCUCUUACUCAGUAAGCUGUUUCCAACCUUAAAAAUAUUACUCGUAUCUACUGAUUAUACUAGUAAGUGCUGUUGUAUUCUUUUAAAAAUCAAAUUAAAAGGAAAAAGUUUUAUUAGUUUUUAAAUAAUUAUUAUUUAUUUUGUAGCCAAAGGUUGUUUUUUGUUUUUAAAUAUUUUACUUGACUGAAGACACUAUUCUGUACAUAAUUUAUUUGUAUAUUAUAUAUCUAUUAUGUAUUUAAGGCCAGUGUAUUGUUGUCAGUCGAAUCUGUGGUGGUCAGUGAUAUUGUUAUCCGUGGUCCCCUUCCCACUUUUGUUUAACAAUAAACAACUUCUUUAUUCGUCACAUUCAUGUUGAAGAACGAGCGAUUGUUUAACAAUCAAAUGUUUUAGGGACUCGAAUAUGUUAAGAGAAAUUAAAUUUCAUUUUUAAACUACUAAAGUAAAGUGGGCGAAUUAAGUUUAGACGUUUUAUACAAUAAGGGUUGGUAAAAAUGCUCAUUAAAUUGAUAUUAUGUGAGUUGUUAAAGAUUUGUUGAUGUAUUGUGUCAAAUGUUUUGAGGUUAGUAGAAAAUCAAUGUUAUACGUAUUAACAGAUUUAUUGGUUCACUAUAUAGUAAAAAUAAAUAUUGAAAGUAUUGUUGAUUAUUAUAAUUUUCGAUAAGGUGUUAACGUGUAAUUCGUUCGCUAAACACCGUAAAUUCUUCUUUGGACUUUGUAACAUUCAGACGUUGCAUUUAAAAUAUCCUGAAAAGGGCACAGUUUUCAAAUAGUGUAGAGAAGAUAAAUAGAACGCUUUUAAAAUGCUCAGUGAUCGUUUUGAACUUUUACGGAAAUCUUAGCGGUAAUUAGAUGAAAUUGAAGGUUUUUGAAAAUAUACAUGAAGCCUAGUCACGCUUCGCUCAGCAGUAGCCCUAGCUUUUAUACAUAUGAAGCACAAUUCGUCCAUUAGGUGGCUAGAUUCAAUUGUCAACUAUGUUUGCUUUCUGUGUUUUGUAUCCUGAUCGGACAGGUUUCGAGCGGGCAGUUCAUUCAUAGUGAAGUCGUGUCGGAGUUACACACAUUAUAUGUGUCUCCUGCUCCGUGCUACAGAAUUGAACAAAUCAUUGUCGGUAACACAAACAGUGUUACCGCUGCUCUAGACUUUUCGUAUCUGAGUGAUUACUCUUGAACUGAAAAGUAUAGAUGUUUGAGUUUGAAAGUUAACCACAAACUAACCAGCAGAGCUACAAUAAAGAGCUUUACAUUUAAAUUUAGCAUGUUUAUUCCUGCGUUUAGACGUAAAAGCAAAUUAUUUACAAAUGAUUACGUCCACACACAACGUAGCUAUGGUGAAAAAGGUUGAUUCAACGUACGUAAAUGUUGACUUUAUAUUAGCAUCUGGAAUCUGAUGGACAAUGAGAAUACGUCUUCACCUAGAUUACAAUAUAUUUUGUAGUUCUAGGUUUUUAAAUCAUUGCACUGUUGCAUGAUGGUGCAGACACUGCAAAUACAGAGACAUAGGUGUAAUUCCUGGAGUAAAUUAUUGAAUUUCAAUAUUUUAGUCCUAUUUUGAACACCCAUCGCCAGUAGCUUGAUACAAUCUCAUAUAGUACAAAUGAGAAAUUUUUAUCCUAUAACAAUUGAAUUACGUACACUUUGUGCACCGUAAAAUCAUCAUUACCGUUUCACAGAGUCUCCCGAUUUUACGUUUCAUGAAAAUAAAAAUAAAAUUGUUCCAUAGCUAUAUUGAGUGUGGCCAAAAAGGAGUAAGUCCAUAGAGCUUGCAAUGUAUUUCCUGUUUGAAUGUGUUCUGCACAGCUGAAAAUACCCUCAUUUGUUUCACUACGACCAAACGUGGAGUACGUAGUGAAUAUGUGGAUACGUAAACAAACUAAACGUCUCUUGCCAAGUAACGUAAAAACGAUACAGCCCUGCCACUUCAAUAUCACGAUUCUCAGAAGCCUGUGAUUAAAAGUACGUGAAAACCCGCUGGAGAUCCAACACUGCUCGUAUGAAUGUACUACCUGCUCGCUCUGCACAUUAUCUGUACAUAUGAUGUGCACCGCUGUUCCGAUGUUGUUGUUGUUGUUUUGUAAGCUCUCAUGAGUCACGUGUUUCUGAUGCUAGUCAUAGAUGGUAUAUUUAUAUAUUUGUGUUUCACCUCAUAUUGUAUCAUUGUCAUCGUAACUACAUUACGUUAUAAGUAUAUUGUGAUUUCGACUUUAUUUAAUCACGUUGAAUGUAUAUUAUAUUUAUUAUCCAAUAAUAUAAAUUUAUAGAAAAGUUUAAGUUUAAAUUACUUUCAAAUUUGAUGUGCACUGUCUAUGUUUGGAGAUUGGAUGUCGGGAGGAUGAAUGGAACUUUCGUUAUUGUUAAAAAAAAUCGAGUACUUGGUUGUAAGUGAAAUUGAUUUUCAAAAGUGUUAUUUCGGUUUAGCAGAUUUCUUGUUAAAUAUUCUUUCAGAUUUUUCUUUACUUAAAAUUUUAGUUUACAGCAAUAUAAUUCUAGUUAUUAUUCCAGUUGUUUAUUUAUAUUUAAACAAUGUAAUAAACGUGUUAAAAAACGUAAUAAAGUAAACUAGAUAGACGAAUAUAAUGUUAACGAUAUCUGUUGAUGAGCACACAGUACAGUACAGUAUAUUCUAAUAAAACACCAAUAUUCCAUGUUGUUUCAUUCCUCCAAACAUAGAGAGCAGUAGAUGGAAUCUCAGACAAUAGGCUAGUUGUCGUCGUGUGACGAUUGCUACCACUAAGCGUUUUUAUGCAAUUAAACAUGUGUUAAUUAAAUUCA
rnacentral:misc_RNA from 1 species